rnacentral:tRNA from 1 species
GCCGGAGUGGCGAAAUUGGUAUACGCAAUAGACUCAAAAUCUAUCGAGGUUCACUCCUCAUGUCGGUUCGAGUCCGACCUCCGGCA